rnacentral:sRNA from 1 species
GACGCUUCCGGGAGGUCUAGGCGGCUGCCGUGGGCCGGUCCGGAACCGCUCUAGGUGCACUGUCCGGCUCCAGCCAGGUCCGCUACGCCUGGAGAGCAUGGAGGCAAGUUCUGCCGGCUCCACCUGCAAAGCAGAUCCCCUUUCCACGACUGUGCAGCACCGCUCGCUCCAGCCCCACCAUACCCGCCUGGACGGAGACCGACCGCAGCCUGGGAGAGCCUCCAAGCCUGGAGGCGGGCGCGCGAGCCCUUUCCAAGGAGAACCCACAGCGGCUUCCCCUCUUGCUCCAGGGGCCUCUAGAUACCCCCCCACCUGGCACCUGCGUCUCUCCCAGAACUCGGCCUGCCGCUACCUUCCCGCCAGCCCCCACCCUGCUGGGGCUACUGGUACCUCCUAGCAGCAUGCAGCGUUCAGGCUCAACCCCCGCUGUGCUCUGCGGUCGCAGCUGCAGCCGCUUCGGUGCUCCAAGACCAGAGAGGAAGCAAAGACAGAGCUUUCCCAGCCAGGCAUCGCUGCUUUGGCCUUGAAGCUCAGCGUGUGGCUACCUGGACCAAUUCUGUCUGAUGGGGUGUGCAGUAGUGUCAUGAACAACUUCUGUCCCAGGAAGUAACUUGUAAAUGAGUGGAUGAGCCAAUUCUCCUUCUUUCUCUUCCUGCUGGCUGAAGUGUGGACAUGAUGGCAGGAGCUGCAGCAGUCACAUUGGACCAUGGGUCAUCGUGGGAAUGGAAGUCACACAAGGGUAUUUAAAGCCACACAAGGAUAAUGAGCACUGGAUAGAUGGAGCCCGAGUCCCCAUCACAGUGUAGCCCCUGUAACAGAUCUAGACUUCCUGCCUCCCACAUUGAGUAAACUGCUCUCUUGCUUAAGCCACUAUUACGUUAGGAUUUUUUCAACCCAUAGUCAGAGAUAGUCCUAACUGAUUCACCACCCUCAGAGAGUUUACAGCCAAUUAUGUUUCUCAUGAGAAAGGUUAGCCAGUGGUUGUAAGUGAUCCCGGACUGGAGCGCCAGCUGCGCUAAGGCAGUUCGUCUGUGGGAUGGCUCUGUCCUUGUCAGGGAGAGGACCCCUCCUACACACUGGCAUGUUACCACAAGUACAGUGGUAACUAAGCAGGUCGGCAUAGGUGCCCACAGAGCAGGCUGAACACCCCGUUUGCUUCCCUCUCCUCUCCGAACUCCCUGGACAUGGCCAAGUAGCAUAAGCCAAGCAGAGGUGAGAAGGAGAGUGGGGCACAGGCAAGUUACCAGUGGGCCCGCGGCUAUCAUGGACUUCCAGAAAAUAAAAAACAGGCAUGAUGGUGUUGGUUUAUAAACCAAAGCAGAGGGCACUGGAGCCCCGUAAGUGUGCAGGAGUGAAUGUAUGUGGCAGGGAGAAGGGUAGAAGGGAGGAGGUUGGGUAGAAGGCUACCUCUACCAGCUGGAAAUGAGUGGUGAAGUCAGCUGGACUUCUGGGUGGGGCGGGGACUUGGAGAACUUUUCUGUCUUACAAAGGGAUUGUAAAAUGCACAAAUCAGCACUCUGUAGCUAGGAUUGUAAAACGCACCAAUCAGCUCUCUGUGGCUAGCUUGAGGUUUCUAAAAUGGACCAAUCAGUGCUUUGUAAAGUGGACCAAUCAGCACACUGUAAAAUGGACCAAUUAGUGCUCUGUAAAAUGGACCAAUCAGACCAAUCAGCACUCCGUAAAAUGGACCAAUCAGCAGGACAUGGGUGGGGACAAAUAAGGGAAUAAAAGCUGGCCACCCUCCAAUCAGCAGCAGGCAACCCACUGGGUUCCCAUCCCUGUUGUGGUGUAUUUGUUAUUUUGCUCUUGGCAAUAAAUCUUGCUGCUGCUC